GAUGAACGCUGGCGGCGUGCUUAACACAUGCAAGUCGAACGGGAAAUAUUUCAUUGAGACUUCGGUGGAUUUGAUUUAUUUCUAGUGGCGGACGGGUGAGUAACGCGUGGGUAACCUGCCUUAUACAGGGGGAUAACAGUCAGAAAUUGCUGCUAAUACCGCAUAAGCGCACAGAGCUGCAUGUCUCAGUGUGCAAAACUCCGGUGGUAUAAGAUGGACCCGCGUUGGAUUCGCUAGUUGGUGGGGUAACGGCCCACCAAGGCGACGAUCCAUAGCCGGGCUGAGAGGGUGAACGGCCACAUUGGGACUGAGACACGGCCGAGACUCAUACGGGAGGCAGCAGUGGGGAAUAUUGCACAAUGGGGGAAACCCUGAUGCAGCGACGCGGCGUGAAGGAAGAAGUAUCUCGGUAAGUAAACUUCUAUCAGCAGGGAAGAUAGUGACGGUACCUGACUAAGAAGCCACGGCUAACUACGUG
rnacentral:rRNA from 1 species